AUCAUUGGAUUUUAGGGUCUGGGACUUUCCUGGCCUCUGCCACACAGACCCCUGCUGUUUUCUGCCCUUUUUUAAAUCAGAAAGUUAGGCAGACCACCUACUACAAUUGCACCACAGUGCAUAUAAUCUCCCUGUGACUUGAAGACAUGACCAUAUUUAAAAAUGAGAAUGUACAGAAGAUGUAGGGAGACAUUUUUAUGUUGAGUGUUCAAAACAGACUCCAUAAAGCUAAAGGCCUUCUGGGGUAAGUUCUUCAGAUCAUGUCAAGUGAGAUGUGGCUGUGUUAGAAUCCUGAUGGUGAGUGCAGAAUCUGUAAGGGCAGAGAAGCACUGACAUCAUACUCUGAUGUGAUGCAUUGUCAGAAGAGAGAGGAUGAUAAUGAUGGGAGAUAAGCAGCAUCUAGUUCAGAGUUGUGGAACAGCCGCCUGUAAGCUAUAUACGGGGAAUGCCGUCUUCUUCCCUGGAGGGGAAUCAGUUUUAUCACACUGUCUAGGGUCUGUACCAGGGCUCUUUCUUUCUCUGUGUUGGCCUAGUCAACCUAGUCAGCCUGGAUCAGUAUUUGGGCAUUAAGACCAGGAUCAUUGAGCCCUGUCUCACUGCAUGUAGUACCUGGCAAGUACUUAGGGGUUUAGAUUUCACAUUUUGAUCAGGUUAUCCAUAUGCCAACCUUCUUCCAUUUCAUGGGACUGUAUGGUGCAGAAUUCCUUCAUGGAAGCAUUUUUGUUACUAUAGGGGAAUCAUUCCAGUUUCCUGGUACGCAAAUGGUGAAACCCAUGGCCAUCUAAAGGCAAAAUACACUCAAGAAUUUCUUCACAUAGCUCUUCCAAGGCAACAAAACAAUCACAAGGCACUCAUGGCUGGAAACUUCUAGAAAACUUCAAUGCAAAGCAAGUGGAUAAAUAAUUGAACUUUGUAUGAUUUGAUCAACACCAAGGAGGAACACAGUGAUUGACACAUUUGAAUUUGGGAAGGUUUUCUUUAAUUGUAUUGCUUAUCCUGAUUCACUUCCACAAAGGCAUUUUCUAGAAAAGUUUUUAUUUCCAUUUGUGUUGUUUUUACCUUGUUGAAAAAUUUAGACUCUCGAUAUCUUAGAGAAAGUUAAAAAGAUAACUUGGUUGUUGUUUCAUGUUAUUAAGUGGGAAAAUAGUCGUAGUUUACUCUCUGUUGCUGUUCUCUGUUGCUGUGAUAAAUACCACAAUCAAAAACAACUUAGGGAAGAAGAGGUUUGUUGAGGAUAGGAACUAAAGCAGGAGCAGGGGAUGGAAUCGUGUAAGAAAGGUGCUCCUAUAGCGCAUGCUCAGCUAGCUUCCCUGAACCGGGACUACCUGCCUGCCUAUGGGUGGCACUUGUCUACAGCAGACCACAUUAGUCAACAGUCAAAACCAUUCCAGACAUGGCCAUAGGCCACUCUGAUCUGGGCAAUUCCUCACUCCCUCAAUUGAGACUCUCACUUUCCCCGUGAUGUUCUUAAUUCUCUGCAUUAAAAAUAAAUGAGCCAUACAGAAACAAAAAGAGAACAGUUCUGAUGUCUGUACACUUAAAUGAUAAAACAGCACCAAAAUUCUAGGUCUUAUGUCAAUUAAUGCAAAGAUUAUGAAGACUCCAGCUCACAGUUUCACAAUAUUCUAUGAGUACAUAAUGCUUGCUUAAAUAGACAUGUUCUAAGUGACUAUAUACAUCUUGUAUUCUAAAUUGUAACUUGUGAACAGUUGCCUACAGCAUAUUUUAAAAACGCAAAGAAUGAUUUAAGAUCUGCAGGAUCCACUGAGAACUAAGAACAUUUGUUUUGAGAACUGAUAGUUUGCAUGCACUUUUUUUUCUAGCUUAGUGCUACAGAUGGUGGAUGUAAAUGCUAGCAAGAAAUGUGCUUAAGAUGCCAGUUCAUGAGUGCCCCCUCUAGUUCCACCAAACUCACAGAGUCACAAUUCCUUAGACUGGGGUUCUACAAUACCACUUGAUUUUUCUUCCUUCAAAUGCAAGGUCAGUAGCAUAAAGCUGUUGUCGACAUGUUUAGUUUUUUGACAAUGUCAUGCUGUUCUGUAUAUUUGUUUGUUUGUUUGGCUUGUGACGCUUUAUUCUGGAUGUCUGUUUUUUUUUCUUUUUAAACAUCUAAUUGAUUCUUUGUGAAUUUUACAUUAUACACCCCCGUACCACUUAUCUCCCCAUCCCUCCAUACCCACCCUCUGCCUUGCAACCCACCCCCUAACAGAGGGGAAAAAAUCUUGAUGUGGAAGCUGUGGUGUGUCAGUGUGAAUCACAGUGUGUCCUUUUGCCCAAACAGCUCUACUUGCAAACGUUCAUUCCAAGAGCCAUUGGUGUGGUUCGAGGCCUCUGGCUUCUGCUACACCAUCAAUGCUGGAUCCUCCCCAUGGCUUCUCUCAGGUAUCUUCUUGUUGCCCUGUGUCAUGGAGAUCCUGCAGCUUUGGAUCUACAGGACCCGCCCCUUCAUUUGCCCCAGCAGUUAAUAGAUGGGGUAGAUGUUGGAGUGGGUGGAUACUUCAUAUUAAUUGACAUAUGACCUAGAAUUUGGGUACUGCACAGUGUAAAGUAUUUAAAGGAGUGAGUGUAUAAGACAUCAGUGGAAAGAUUGCCAAUAGGUGUACCAAGUACUCUGGGACAGAAAGAGUAGGACCAAGAGGAGCAACUGCAGCCAGCUCAUGAACUCCCUCAGGCUGUGGGGCUAAUGUUACAAAGGUCAUCACAGUAAAUGAAAUGCCAGCAGCUCUUCUCCCAUUGGAAGACACCAACCUACAUACCCAGUGAAUUUGUAAAAGACAAAUUCAAUUUAAUGGAGCAAUGAGUGUGUUCCACAAAUGACUGC
rnacentral:lncRNA from 1 species